rnacentral:rRNA from 1 species
UACGUAGGGACCAAGCGUUGUCCGGAAUCAUUGGGCGUAAAGCGCGUGUAGGCGGUUCAGUAAGUCUGCUGUGAAAGUCCAGGGCUCAACCCUGGGAUGCCGGUGGAUACUGCUGGGCUAGAGUACGGAAGAGGCGAGUGGAAUUCCCGGUGUAGCGGUGAAAUGCGCAGAUAUCGGGAGGAACACCAAUUGCGAAGGCAGCUCGCUGGGACGUUACUGACGCUGAGACGCGAAAGCGUGGGGAGCAAACAGG